GAACGCACAUUGCGCCUCCUGGUAUUCCGGGAGGCACGCCUGUCCGAGCGCCAUUACACCCCCCAAGCCUUGCUUGAUGUUGGGCCAUGACAUACCCGUCAGGCCCCAAACCUUUAGGCACCCCCUACUGGCCGCGAGCGUAGCAAGAAUUCAUUUUCCCUCGCUUCGCGUGUCCAAUAGGCGGGCCGCCCAUCGACCCACAAACUUUUACAAGGUUUGGCCUCGGAUCAGGCGGGGAUACCCGCUGAACUUAAG
rnacentral:misc_RNA from 1 species